rnacentral:lncRNA from 1 species
CCGUGCUGUGGGAGUCAGGCAAGCAGAUACUCACCACCUGACCAUCAGUCCGUGCUCCAUGAAGUUUUUCAGGUUAGGAAGAGUUUGCCUCAAGUCUGGAGUCCCCAGGCCAUGCUGGUAUCUCAGCUGCAACGAAAGAACGGAAUUGAAAGAUGUUUUGGCAGAUGCUAGGCAAUGCUCAGGACGGUGAACUCCUGAACGAGCAAACAUUUAAGUGUACAAAGGCCACACCAACUACAGCCGAGGCACAGCAUUUAAUGGCUCUUCUUUACCAUCACCUUACACCUUGAACUUGAAAACAAUAUGGCCAACCUUAGGCCUUCACCUACUCUUUUCCACUCCCAGAUCUUGGACUGAGACUCUAAAGGAGACUCCUGUAACACAAGUGAGCGUCUAGGAUGUUCUGAGUGAAUACAUCCAUCAAAUAAGAAGGCAGAAACAUGCUGUUAGAACUAGAAGGUGCCCUGGCAAGGACUGAAGCCAGUGGGAAAUUCCCCAGGACUCAUCGGUGCACACAGAACCAGCGAGAG